rnacentral:rRNA from 1 species
CGGGUGAGUAACACGUAUCCAACCUGCCGUCUACUCUUGGACAGCCUUCUGAAAGGAAGAUUAAUACAAGAUGGCAUCAUGAGUCCGCAUGUUCACAUGAUUAAAGGUAUUCCGGUAGACGAUGGAGAUGCGUUCCAUUAGAUAGUAGGCGGGGUAACGGCCCACCUAGUCUUCGAUGGAUAGGGGUUCUGAGAGGAAGGCCCCCACAUUGGAACUGAGACACGGUCCAA